GGGAGCUUAGUUUAGUGGUAAAACGUCGGACUCCAAAUCCGAAGCCGGGGGUUCGAUUCCUCCAGCUCCUGCAA
rnacentral:tRNA from 1 species